AACACGUGGGGAACCUGCCCCAUAGUCUGGGAUACCACUUGGAAACAGGUGCUAAUACCGGAUAAGAAAGCGGAUCGCAUGAUCAGCUUUUAAAAGGCGGCGUAAGCUGUCGCUAUGGGAUGGCCCCGCGGUGCAUUAGCUAGUUGGUAAGGUAAAGGCUUACCAAGGCGAUGAUGCAUAGCCGAGUUGAGAGACUGAUCGGCCACAUUGGGACUGAGACACGGCCCAAACUCCUACGGGAGGCAGCAGUU
rnacentral:rRNA from 1 species